rnacentral:rRNA from 1 species
AACGAACGCUGGCGGCAUGCCUAACACAUGCAAGUCGAACGAGACCUUCGGGUCUAGUGGCGCACGGGUGCGUAACGCGUGGGAACCUGCCCUUAGGUUCGGAAUAACUCCCCGAAAGGGGUGCUAAUACCGGAUAAUGUCUUCGGACCAAAGAUUUAUCGCCUUUGGAUGGGCCCGCGUUGGAUUAGCUAGUUGGUAGGGUAAAAGCCUACCAAGGCGACGAUCCAUAGCUGGUCUGAGAGGAUGAUAAGCCACACUGGGACUGAGACACGGCCCAGACUCCUACGGGAGGCAGCAGUGGGGAAUAUUGGACAAUGGGCGAAAGCCUGAGCCAGCAAUGCCGCGUGAGUGAUGAAGGCCUUAGGGUUGUAAAGCUCUUUUACCCGGGAUGAUAAUGACAGUACCGGGAGAAUAAGCUCCGGCUAACUCCGUG